rnacentral:rRNA from 1 species
AGCAGCCGCGGUAAUUCCAGCUCCAAUAGCGUAUAUUAAAGUUGUUGCAGUUAAAAAGCUCGUAGUUGAAUUUCGGGGUCAGCAGGUCGGUCGUGCCACUGGUAUGCACUGGCCUUGGUGAUUCCUCCUUCUUGAAGAACCGUGAUGCCAUUCAGUUGCUGUUGCGGGGGCACAGGACUGUUACUUUGAAAAAUUAGAGUGUUUAAAGCAGGCACACGCCUGAAUACAUUAGCAUGGAAUAAUGGAAUAGGACGAUCGAUCCUAUUUUGUUGGUUUCUAGGGUUGACGUAAUGAUUAAUAGGGAUAGUUGGGGGCAUUAGUAUUAAUGUC